rnacentral:piRNA from 1 species
UCCCACAUACUGUUGUUUGUCAGACAGGC